GUAGGAGCUCUCGCCACCUCAAAACCAAGACACUUGUUUCCAAUUUUCAGAGAAAGGGGGGUGGGGAAAGAGAUUCUCUAAAGUCUCUGAAUCAUUGCCCAUCUGUUCGCUCACAAGUCUGUGGAGGAACCAAACUCACAGAAGAGGGGAAAGUGCUUGAAACUUAAACUCACCAGUUUUUUGACUGUCUCCUCAACUAGAAUGUCAGCUUCGUCUGAGAGUGACAAAGGACAGCGGGUCCACACUGUUCAACAGCCUGUCACCUUGGCGAGGAGCCAUGCAGCACUAACAGUCAUCAAAUGUGCACUGCUUUCAGCUUUCGUUAAAUGCUUCUGCAUUCUUUGAACCCUCUGAUAGCCCUGUGAAGGGAAAAGGUAUCCUACAUCAUGAACAUUGUCAUGAGUGGAUCGUCUCUGGAGCUUUGCCAAACUCUAACAGAAGUGUGAACCUGGCCAACGCCUGGACCUCCGGAGGUCUGUUUCCACCUGUCUCCUCAAAUAAAAGACUUGCAGGCCAUGGACAGCUGGUGGUCGGCUUGUGCAAGACAAGAAAGAAUUUGGCUCUGUGCGGCCUAUGAAGCUCUGCCCCGACAGUCAGGACAGUGGCAGUGACUAGUUUUAAAAGAACACAGGCAACAUGACAGCCACAUAGAGCCAUGCAGCUGGAGGGAUCUGGGAGUCUCCUGAUGACACCAAGGCUGAGACCCUCAAGGCCUACAGGAGCACAGACAGAGGUGCCCACACUGUGACCUCCGGGCCUCAUCUAGGGUCCUGGCAGUCAUAUGGCAUCCCAAAGCCACAGCAAAGAAGACAGGUCAAGCCUGUGGUCUGCCCCAGCCCGUGAGUGAACUUUCUGUAACUUCUCAGCACCAGCAAUUAGGACUCCUGCUGGGUCUGAGCAAACCUGAAUGCUAUUCAGGAAGCUUGAUCACAUUGGUGCAAGGGGCUCGUUACAGGUGGGGACUGUCCCGGGUCCCUAGGAGAGGAAACACAGCACCGGUACCUCAGCAGCACUCUGGUACAUCUGGACUUUCUCCUUCAUUCCUUGGAGCUGUGCUAGUUGAUGAGCUGUGGCGCAUAGCCAGAGUGUUUCCAGAACUGUUAGCUAUUAUGUCCCCCCAAAUAAUCAAUUGCAUGCAGCGAUCUGCUUCUUUCCUUCAAAGCAACUGCAGAGCUAAAACUCCAGGCUCUUUCUAGGGCACACAUUACUUGCUCACCAACAGGGGGUCCACAUCUCCAGAUACCCCACUUUCUUUCCAUUCCUCACUCAGCACCAGAUGCAAGUCCUCUUGGUCUCCAGGCACCAUAACGCCCUUAUGGGCGUCUCAAAGUGCUGUUGGCAGAGUGAACUAAGGUCCCAGCCAUAGGAGACCCUUUCCUCAAAGCACUGUCUCUGCAUAGAUUAUUACAGACAAUAAAGCAUACUGACCGGACAGGUUCAAAUCCACAAAUAGCAGACUGCCCGGUGAAUAGGUAAAGCCGCCAUUAUGUAUCAGCCAGAGAAGCAAAGAGCUGAAUGCCUCCUGUCUGCCUUCUUUCUACUCUUUCCCUUCCACAUCUACCUGUCCAGCAGCCCUCUUUCCCUCCCACCUCCUCCUUUCUCCCCCCUCUUUUCUCUUCUCCCAUCUCCUCCCCUUCCCCCUUCCUUAUCUCCCUUGCCUGUCUCCUUUCCAGGCUCCAUGCCCCUCUCGCAGCCCCGAUGCACAGCUUUCUGCCUUUCCCUCUUCACUUUAGAGCCCUUAGGGCAACUCCAUAGCAAACAGACAAAGUUUGUCUCACACACACACACACACACACACACACACACACACACACACACACACCAUUAGAGCUGGGGCACCUUUUAGUGAUGCUAUUUAAAACCCACAGCUUACUGUUUGGCUGGGGCCACAGUUUUAGUAGGAAUGUUAAAAGCUGACUACUAGCUGAUAGAUACAUAGUUCAUACCCAAAGGUGGAAAUCCUGGGCCCAAGAUGCCUGGGACAUUAGUGUAUUAAAAAGCAUAAGAAGGACUGAGACUAUAGGUCAGUGUGGAGAUCUUGCCUGGCAUGUGUGAGCUCCUAGUUUAGUUGCCAAGCCUGAAAACACACAAACAGAAACACAGAAAAGGGUUUAAGAGAUUGUUCCUUAAGUAAGAACACUCGCAGUGACUGUAAGAGGACCAGAGUUCAAAUCCCCAGUAUCAAGCCAUAACCGCAGUGUUAAGGGCUUAGAAGAGUGACAUAGGAGAUUGGGCCUAACUAAAACAGCAAGCUCAAGGCUCAGUGAUUGCCCUAGUCAGGGCUUCUAUUGUUGGGAUAAACAUUAUGACUAAAGCAGCUUGGGAAGGAAGAGUUUGUUUGUCUUAUACUUCCAUAGCACUGUCCAUCACCAAAGGAAGUCAGGGUAGGAACUCAAACAGGGCAGGAACCUGGAGGCAGGAACUAAGGCAGACACCACGGAGGAAGCUGCUUCCUAGCUGGUUCCUCAUGUCUUUUCCAACCUGCUUCCUUAUAAAAUCCAGGACCACCAGCCCAAGGGUAGCACCAUCCACAAUGGGCUGGGCCCUCUGAAUCAAUAACUAAUUCAGAAACUGCCCUACUGGCUUGCCUACAGCCUGAUGUAUGGGGCAUUUUCUUGAUUGAGGUUCCCUCUCAGUUGACUUUAGCUUGUACCAAGUUGACAUAAAACCAGCCAGAACAGUGACACAUUCUUUCAAAAAUAGAUGAAAACUAUAGAAGAAGACACAUCAUACUGACUCCUCUGGCUCUCUGUAUAUACAUAUAACACAUAUAUACAUACAUACAUGAAUACAUACAUACAUACAUACAUACAUACAUACAUAAAAUCAAAUCACAAGGCACGGGCAGUUCUGUAUACAGUAUCCAAUAGAAUUAACCAGAAAAUUAAAAAACUACUACAUCACUAGCUCUAUGAUCUUGCAGAAAUGUGUUCUAUGUAGGCCUCCAUUUCUAACAAUCUGAGAGGUUCUGAAACUUUGUCCUGCCCCUCCAGGAAGAAUUUAAGGGUUCAUAAGAGAGCUGUUGGUGAUAGUAGAACCCAAGAACAAGAGCAUCAUGGGGUGCAUACCCCUGGCAUGGUGUAAGAGGAGUGAACAGAGAUAGGGGGUGUCCCACACAAGCUUAGUCAUCAGCCGCUGCAAGGAAGCUCCCUUUGAAGCUAGGUACCUGCACAUGGGAGUCUGUAGAGAGGGCUGUGUGCAGCAGGGUCAAAGAGAAAGAAACACAGGGCACUCCACACAGAGAAGUCUCAGCAAUGUCAUAGGAAACUUGUCUUUCAGAAACUUGUCCCAAAUUGAGAUAAGGACAUUUAUAAUUCUGGGGGGAGGUGGCUACCAUUAACAACUGUGAUUGGCUCAAGAAAGGGAGAAGCUGCGAGAAGUGACUGUGUUCCUGAAAAGGGACUAAGGGCUGUCUGCUGGCAGCCCUUUUAGCAUGUAGAGAAAUAGUUCCUUUGAUGUAGAUAAGUGGUCUGGGCCAUGUUUCCAAUGUCCCCUGCCUUGUCCUUAUACUUACAUAAAUAUGGUUUUUUAUUUCCUCAUGCAAUUAGGGAAUAGAAUCAUGCUGAUGUACUUACAGGGGAAAUGUGGGGAAAUUAUUUCUACCUUAAAAAAACGUAACUACUGAUGAGCUGUUCCCAAGACGAACGCACGUCAGAGGCAGGGCACAGAAGCUGACGGAGACCAACAGUGGCAUCCCAAUGAGCUCCUAGACUUGCACUUUAGGUCUCCCUCUACUGGCCAACUCAAUAUUUUGCCUCUUGGAUUUGUUAUCUCAUUGCCCUUAUACUUCAACACAGUCUACGUUUCUGUCCCUUUAGAAACAGUCAGAACUCCUCUUGUGAGUCUGGCUCCCCAUCCUCAUUGGAAGCCUCUUUCUCUACGUCUCCUCCCCAUCUCCCAUGACACUACCUCAGCAUUUUUCACCUUGUGAUUCAUUACCCCUUUAGGGGUGAAUAACGCUUUCACAGGGAUCACAUAUCAGAUAUCCUGUAUAUCAGAUAUUUAUAUUUCAAUUCAUAACAGUAGCACAAUUAUGGUUAUGAAGUAGAAAAAAGAAAUCUUAUGGUUCGGAGGGUCACCACAAGGAACUGUAUUAAAGGGCUGCACCAUUAGGAAGGUUGAGAACCACUGCUCUAAACCAUUACACAUUCCAGCACAGCACUGUGCCCAGCUCUAUAGUACUUUCUAUAGAUGGGCUAUAGUCUUCCCCAGGAUGGACUUCUACAGUCUUUAAAUACUAGACCCAAGUCCCCAUUCCCUAGGCCUCCUCUGAGUCUUCCAUGUACCUACCUAUGGCAUUUAGAUGAACACACAACCAGGUUGACCACGUAGAUAUACCUAGAAGCCAGAUAUAGCGAUGAGAAAUUGAUUAGGCUCCAAAGAUAUUUGUCCUAAGUUUAAGUCUCUUGUCCCUGACUUAAAGCUUUUGAAUGAAUCUGUUAAGGAGUUGAGGGCUGUUUUCUUACUUACUAGAUCAUUACACAGUCUACUUCAAAAGAUUAUUGUGCCGAUAGCAUGAGGGGACAGUGACACGCGUAGAAUGCCUGACUGAGUGUCCAGCAUGGGGCCAAUGCUCUAGAUGUGGUAGGAGCUGCUGGAGGCAGACCCCAGUUCUGCAUUCCCUCCUUUGAGAAGCUCCCCAAUUAGACUGUAAGUUCCCUGAGGGCAAGGCUUAUGGCUUCUUGUUCAUAAUUGCCUCCUAAUGCGUGGCUCACAGCCUGAAUAAAUAUUCAAAGACAUUAAAAUAAGUAUCAUGACACUAUUGAAUGAAAUGGACUUGAACUGAAUCCUUUAUGGUUCCCCAAUGCAGAGGACAUAUCUCAUUUAUUUUUGAAAAGAGGAAAUUAGAAAUUCCAUUAUAUGGUGAUCAGAGCUGUGGUCUUGGCAGCUGAGGAAAGACGAGGUGGCCUGCU